UCCUGACAGGCUGCGUUUUUUCCCUCUCUUAUUCUUCUUCGUUGAAAACGGUUUGCUCACAGAGGAGGAUGCAGCUUCUGUUGAAGGUUCCAAAGGUUUGGACGAUGUGGAUCCGGAUUCAGAUCCACUAACUGUGUUUCUUCUAAGCUUCAAAAGCGACUUGAUUUGUUCUUCGAGGUCUCCGAGUUGGAACUCUGAUUCAAGUUUGUGGCACGAUAUGCAUUUAAUGGCGGCUCUAAGUGCUCUAACUUGUCUGUCUAUGGCUGCAACCUGUAAAAUAUGCUUUGUGUUACAACUUGCAACAAUCUCUAUUUGAGUUUUAUUGUGAUACAAAAAGUUGAGAACAAAGAAACGGCUUAAAUUUCACCUGCUUUGCAGAUUCGUUA